AUGAGACAGUUUCAGUGCCUGCGGGCUGACCUUUCCCAUGUGGUAGAGAACACAGCCAUGAACAAGCCUGAACUUAACAUCUUCUUCAGCCACACCGAGGAGACUGGCCCUUAUUUCCAUUUCAGUUGGAAAACUCCCAAGGAGACAACUUGGCCCUAUUCAGCUGACCUUUGGGCUCUGGUGCCUGCUGCCCCCGGACCUUGCACGAACUCCAUGGUCCGUACUAAGGCCGUGACUUGUGUCAGAGGCACCAUCUUCUCCCAGGACCCAGAGAGUUCUGGUGACGUGCACGCUCCCUGCAGCAGUGUGCCUAGAAAAUAUGGCUGCUAACAAAUGAGCAUCUCCAGAGGCGCUUCUACCACUAUACAUUUCACAAUUCCAUUUUUCCAGAAUGGCGGAGCUGUACCUGUAGCUCCCCAUGUAUGUCAGUAGCACCUCCAAAGAUGAACCCCAAGCACGCUCCAACAAGGUUGUAAGAGACCUAGAUAGCUGCUGCAGGAGAGACAGACACACUCUCCUGGGGCCUGCCAACAGCCCUGCCCACCUGUCCAGGGAGAAGGACUUCACGUCCUAGUGAAGGCAGGAGACAAUGGGAGUGGAAGCCUUGUCUUCCUGGAAGCAGGCGAUUUGCACCUCUCGAAAGGAGCUGUAAUACCUGAAUCCUGAGAUACGGAUCUCGGGACCUGCCCUUCUGAGUCUGCUGGAAAGAAAGGUGACCAAAAACAGCCCUUCCUUGAAGACUGUGCCAAGCAUAAUCCUCUCUGUCUCCCAGCCAAAGUAUAUGAAUGUGAGAGCUGUGUGUUGAGAUUUAAGUUUCACCCUCUAAAAAUAAUGAUCCCAGGGAGGACUCAGGCUCGGGUCAGCUGCCCACCCUCGGACCAAAGAACUCUGGAGAAGAGAAGGCAGUCUUGCUCUAGUUCAUGUUUGGAGCCCACCAGACUGGAAUGGGGGAAUGUGUUAAAUCAAAAUAAAGUGGGUACUGUUAUAUUAAAGUGGGCAUGAUGGCACAUACCUGUAAUCCCAGCUACUUAGGAGGCUGAGGCAGGAGGAUCUUUUGAGCCCAGCCUGGGGAACUUAGCAAGACCCUGUCUCAAAAUGAAAGUUGAAAAAGAGCUGAGGAUGUUCAGUGAUAGGACACUUCCCUAUUAUGCAUAAGGACUUCGGUUCAAUCCUCAGUUCUGCAGUAAAAACAUCUUUUGAAAAAAUAAAAUGGCAAGGGCUGGGGAUGUAGCUUAGUGGCUCGGUGCCUAACUGGCAAGCAAGGUCCUAAGAUCGCACCAGAAAAUAAAUAAAGUGGCAGUUCCUUCAAUAUCAUGACUGGGGUCAGCUCUAGAGAAUGCUGGUGUUGAAUGAUUGGUCAGUCCCAUUUGUUCACUUCAGGCCUUCAGAGUUUUUUACUCUCCCACUCCUUAAAUUCAGAUGUUUUUCAAAGCUGUCUUCUCACACUGCUCCCUCUCAUGUGACUGCUUUUUCUACAAAUGCCCCACGAUCCUCCCAGCCAAAUCUAUGGGCAGCCAUCUUUUCCUGCAUCCAAGUCUCCACUAGGAUGGUCAAAAGAGAAUGCAAUAUUUGUUUUAAAUUAAAAUGUGCUUAUAGAAGCAUAUCUCUGGGAGAAAAUACAAGGACCCAGUCAACGCAGCUGCCCUGAUCUAGCCUUUAUUCUCUUCCUUCCUGUGAAUGGGAACCACCUGGCAUGGAAGCACCCAGUAACAGAGCUCGGGAGUCAUUCUUGAACUUGAUCAUGCACGUGAGGCCAAGCAAAGGACCUUUGUGAGAUGCAAAUUUGAUUAUGUUACCUUUCUCCUUAAGAUCGCUCAGUGUCUCCAUGGCACACAGGGUCGCUGGGGGGAGGGUGGCUACCUCCCAGCCUCCCGCUGUCGCUUCUCACCGCCUGCUCAAUAAAGGGUCCUGUUCCUCCGAGGAGCCGCCUCUGUCUCGUGCCAGCUGUCCAUAAAGUCAGCCAAGGUUACUAUUUAUUUUUAUGUAUUCCACAUCCAAAUCUUCUCGGAUUUUCCGUCAGCUCUGCGUAUUUGUACCUGAUUCUGACUGCUGAUCUGUUUUGAAGCCAGCAAGCAUAUGCUCUCAGGUAAAGAAAGCUAGUGCCACAUUUUAACCUCUGCUUUAUUUUGAUGACAGAAUCUGCGUAUUGAUGAUUGUGUUGUUGUUUCAUCUUUGUACCUUGAGGAACAGAAUCUUCGUCCACCCAUCUCAAGAAAGUCCCUCGGAUCACAAGCGUACACAGCAUCCCAGCCAGUGGGCCACCACUGUCAUUCUCUCCUAGCCCUUGGGACUAUGGGGAGCUGUUCACUUGUUUUGAACUCUCGUCUCGCUAUCCCAGGAUUGUGAAUCCUUGGAAGGCAGUGUCCUUUCUGUUUAUUAAUAUUAUUUCUAGAGCUUAGCUGAAACAUAACAGCUGCUCAGUAAAGUUUGCUGGCCGAAGGAAGAGAUGGAUAGAUCAAUAUAUGAAGAAAUACUACUUGUUUUAAUCCUAUAUACUAGCAGUAAAAAAACGGCACUUUUCCGGAAGGUGAGGCAGAGCAGAAAAUGUUAGAGCUGUCACAAGGUGGCGCUAGAAUCCCACAUGGAUUCCCUCUGCCAAAAAAAAAAAAAAAAAAAAAAAAAAAAAAAAAAAAAGUCCAAGACGCUUGACCUGGGCUGGUUUCUUGUAACAGACGCCUGGCUGAGCCACGCUAGCCAAGAUGGUUUUGAAAUGAAGACUGUGGAAGAAAUAAAUGCAGGCAGGUUACAGCAUGAUGUAAAGAGAGGAAUGGUGGCUUUCAAGGAACUCCGGUGUAGAUUCCCCCUCCACCUCUGGACACCAUCCCAUCCCUGCCUACAGGAUCACACAUCCAGACAACAGCACAUUUCCACCUCCAGGUACCCUUGCCUUCUUACUUAACAAAAUGCUCAGGCUCAUCAUACCCAGUCUUCAGCCUGCGGCAACAAUAUUUCCCCAUGGAGUCCUCUCUCAUUCCAGGAGAGAUUAUAUCUGUCACAGAUUUUAUUACCAUUUCCCUCUUUACCUCCCAAGAGGUCACUGAAACUUUUAGACCUUUUGAACUCUGGUUUUCUGUGUAGUCAGGUGAUAAAGAGAAAAAUCCUUUAAAAUUUCAAAUACAUAUCUAACUCCUGUGAGGGACCAGGAAAUGUAACCAAGGAAACGAGAGCAAGAGUGUAACCAUGGAAACCCAUUUAAACCAGCUGGGCCGUUACCAUCUAGAAUUUGGUGGACUCUGGCUGCUGCAAGCAAGGACAGUUAGCCCUAGUUAAUAUGGUCAAGUGAUGUCAAUUGAUAGUGUUUUACAGACAUUUAAGUAACAUCUGGGUGCUGAUAAUUUAAAAUGUUAGAAAGAAAACCUUUCCAUAGGACUUCUUUGCUAAGCCAAUUUUAAAGGACCUUCUAAAUAUUUCUGCCCCGCCCUCUUACCACACCUCAGAAAUCAUCAUUCACUCACUCAUUCAUUCAGCAAACACAUGCCAAUCACUUUGCUGUGCUGGGCAUUCUACUGACCCCACCAUAUCUAUGUCAUGGCCAAUGUGUUAUCUUUCCAACCAGUUUUAAUGCUGAGGCAAAUCCUUGAAAAAAACGUUCAUUUAUCCAACAGCUUCUUUACAAAACUAUGUUUACAAACCAUGGGGGUUUUUUGUUUGUUUUUGUUUUUGUUUUUUGAGACAGGGUCUCACUGUGUAGUUGAGACUGACCUGGAGCUCACUAUGUAGCCCAGGCUGGUCUUGAACUCACAGCGAUCCUCCUGCCUCAGCCUCCCGAGUGCUGGGAUUACAGGCAUGCGCCACCACACCCAGCUUACAAACCAUGUUCUUUACAGAGCUAUACUCACUGGUUUAUACUUCCAAUGAGUGAGAUAUAAAUGAGCUUUUUUGCUAUUUUUUUUUUCUGGUACCAGGAUUUAACUCAGGACUUUAUGCUUGCAAAGCAGGUGGCGAAACCACUGAUCUAAAUCCCCAGCCCACUUUCUGCUACUUUUGAAGGAAACUUUCACCUUGUAAAAGGUGAAACAGUAGGGUUGUAAAAUCAGAUCCUUCAGUUUCUCCUUUCCUUCUCUCCCGUGUGCAGUACAGCCCUGACACCUUUCCUCCCCUGAGCACCUUCCUCUCAGCAUGAAAGCAGGUAUGAGUCAAUCCUACUUUCUCUCCCCCACCUUCUUCUGGGAUGGGACCCCAGCUUUCGGGCAAAAUAAGUAAGUGCCCUGCCAUGGGGCCACACCCCCAGCACCUACUGAAUUUUUUCAAAGACCCCUCGAUUCUACUUGCUACCCUCUCUCCUUUCCCACAUAACUCUUAGAAGCAGUUCUUGUGAAGCUGGGGAUGUGGCUCAGUGGCACAGGGUUUGCCUGUUGUGUGUGAGGCCCUGGG
rnacentral:lncRNA from 1 species